rnacentral:rRNA from 1 species
AAGUCGUAACAAGGUUUCCGUAGGUGAACCUGCGGAAGGAUCAUUACACAUAUAUGGGACACUAAUGUGGUCCCUUGACCAAUACCCUCUCUGCGUACCAAUCUAUGUUGCUUUCCUAGGUGGUUGGUUCCAGCUGCCGUCCAACAUUGCCUGCUAGCUCAGUCAGCCCGAGUGGUUAACUUGGAGUUUGAUCUUUUUUACUGAUGGGUUAAGCUUUAAUGGGUCAGCAAGCUUAAUUUAUAUCUAUCAGGAUCAGCUAUGCAGGCCCCUGGGAAAGGGUCCAUCCCAAAUGAAUAUGCCAAUCAGCUGUCUGAGUUGGCCUUGUGCCUUAUUCUUUGAACAAGUUAAAACUUUCAACAACGGAUCUCUUGGCUCUCGCAUCGAUGAAGAACGCAGCGAAAUGCGAUAAGUAAUGUGAAUUGCAGAAUUCAGUGAAUCAUCGAAUCUUUGAACGCACAUUGCGCCCCUUGGUAUUCCUUGGGGCAUGCCUGUUCGAGCGUCACUAUAAACCCGCUCAUAAAUGUUAUGGUAUUGAUGGAAGUGAACUGUUGCAACUAAAGUGUGUGGAUCACCCCAUCGAAAUAGAUAGGCAGGACAACAAACCUCUGUAGCUGACUUUGUAACUGUUUUCAAAGACAUAAACCAGUCACUUGCUAGGUUCUAGCCUGGCCUCCUUAGACCUCCAUUCAAGAUAAAAUACUGGGUUGACCUCGGAUCAGGUAGGGAUACCCGCUGAACUUA